AGUAAUCAGAAGUGGGAUUCGUUAAGGAGUAAGAUGAUAAUAUGAGAGUUUAGUGUGACGUAUGCUGAGUUAUUUUGAACGUUAUACGAUUAUUUUAAAAUACUAAGAAUUAUGAUAUUCACUGCGUUAUUAUUUUUGAUAUUCUUGGGACAUCUCCUAUAAAUAGUUAAAGUGUAUUAGGGUGUCUUAUUUUGUAAAUAAACGCGAAUUUUUCGGAUUAUACUGUUAAUACAAGCAAGAUGGGUACAAUGGAUUUAAAUUUUUUAUGAUUUUGAUUUCAUACAUGUACCUAUGGAUCGGACAGAGUUAUUGGCUAAAAAUCAUAACUGUCUGAUGAUUUGCGUGAAAAUGUAUGUAAAAGCCACACUACGUCCUUGCCCAAAGCAAAAAUUUUUAAGCUCAUUUUAUGGUGCAUGAAAUCGUGAUGAUUUAAAAUCAUAAAAAAGAUACUUACUAGGGGAUUGUAAUGCUAUCUAUCUUGUAUCAAAUGUGGUUUUGAUUUUUUACAUUCAGUAAAGUAAUUGCAUUUGCAAAUACUAAUAUAUAAUAUAAAAUUAUUGUGAGGGCACAUAUUAUUAUUAUAGGUAUACCGUUCCACUGAGACAGCUCGUGAGGUAAGGCGCUGGUUGCGGGAGGGUGACAUUGACAUAAUUAUAUCUUCAACAUCGCUGUUACACUCCUACAAUCCGGACUCUAUCCUACGUGCCAUCUCAUUCAAGCAUUUACAGUAGCAUCUAUAGUAUAGUAUAGUAUAGUACAGCUAUAGUCAAUACAACUUCAAUGUUCGAGAUUGAGCUUUCAAGUGCAUUAAGCAAUUUACGUUCACUAUUUUUUUGAAACAGAAAAUUAUCAGGUUUCUUCUAAGUCGUAAAAUCAUUUUUGUUUAAUUUUUGCUAACACAUGUGUUAAAUUCUUAUCAAUUAGGGCUCCUUUCUGGAGACCCGUCGCGUGGUGCGUUGCGUCGCGCGUCGUACUACACCAUAUCAAAUUCAAAUUCAAAAUAUUUUUAUUCAAUUAGACUUUUACAAGUACUUUUGAAUCGUCAAGAGCAUACGCUCUCAUACUUGGUCAUUGGUCAAAUAUUUUAUUUAAGUUAACAACGCGACGCGACGCACCACGCGACGCGCAACGCGCUGCGCCUCCAGAAAAGAGCUAUCAAAAUAGAAUUCUAAUGUUCUAAGUAGGAAGCUAGCAACCAUGCAAACUUAGCGUGCCAUGCAAGGAUGCAAACAAACAACAAAGUUGCUGCCAACAUUUUAUUAUCUAAAUAUACAUUUGUCUACACAUACACGCUAGGUAGGCUAACCAUAUUAAAGCUUAUGAUUACAGAAUUUGUGACAUUAAGUAUAGGUGCAUAUUCUGUGCGUUUUCAAAAAUAAUUGAAAAUAUGGGAUGAGGAGUAUUCAACUUGUAAUAAGCGUAAUUUUAACCAUAGAUUAUUUAUUAAUUAUCGUUCAUUGAGUUUCAUUUGUUGAGUUUUUUAUAAUUUCGAGACUUAAAGGGGAGAGAAUAAAACGCAUACAGUUUAUAACUAACAGUUCGUUCCGAACUGAGGCCUUGCGACAUAUAAAAUCCUAUUGACAUUAGCGCCGUAAAUCAACUCAACAAAUAAUCAGGCACGCACUGUUUCUUUGUCUCCGUCCUCGCAGUGAAAAAGUGUAUUAAUUUUAUUUCUAUUUGAUACCUAUUUGACUAAAGUUAUUAUCUGCUCGGCAUGGAGUCGUUGAAACGCAUAAUUGUUUGUGAAUAUGAAGUCAUUAUGUACAGAAAAGUAAUGACGUUUUUAUAGACGGACGGACACAUUCAAAUUCAGAUUGGCCAGGCCGUUCAGAAAUGUUUCAAAAAGGAACCCUAUUUUAAAUGUGCAACUAAAGAGUCAGGUUAUAAAACAUGGCUUGUGUUAAUACUACAUUUAUUGUACUUAAAAUUAUCCUUUGGAUAUUAGUGACAUGUUACAUAUAUUGUAAAAUAGUUUAUUGAUUAGAAAAUAUACUAUGAAAAUUGUAUAGAAAAUGCAUCACAUAAAAUUGUAUUAACUAAACAUUCGUCAAAUACCUAAGUAAGAUUAACUAUUUAAGAGGUAAUAUAGAUAUAGAAUCCCUUGUUGUGACAUGAAGGAAGAUAACCGCUGUUAUUUACAUAGAACAACAUGCAACAAACAGUUCUUACUAACGAUUCAAAGUUGAAUAUAUACAGGUACAGGCAUUUUAUUAAAGAUAACCCAUUUUCACAAAAACAAGCGUGUUCAUUAUUGCUUUUAACUAAGUAUCUACUCAUACAAGCCUGUUUGAAAAAAAACUUUCAAAUCUUUGCGCCAAUCAAAAAUAUUUUUUUUUACAUUUAGGAGAAUGAAAUGCCAAAACCUGUUAUUAGAGCUCCCUAUCCUGCAACAUUUGAUUUGAAUUAUUUUCUUACAUAAUAAAGACAAUAAAGCGAUAACUUUUGGCAACAUUUUAAAAAGCCAACAGGAAUGUUUCAAAAGUUACAGAAUAGGUUGCGGAUAUUCGCCUAAUCAUACACAAAGGA